UACGUAGGGGGGCAAGCGUUGUCCGGAAUUAUUGGGCGUAAAGAGCGCGUAGGCGGUCCGAUAAGUCGGCUGUGAAAGUCAGGGGGCUCAACCCUUGAACGCCGAUGGAUACUGCCGGGCUAGAGUCCGGAAGAGGCGAGUGGAAUUCCUGGUGUAGCGGUGGAAUGCGCAGAUAUCAGGAGGAACACCAAUAGCGAAGGCAGCUCGCUGGGACGGUACUGACGCUGAGGCGCGAAAGCGUGGGGAGCGAACAGG
rnacentral:rRNA from 1 species